AAUGUGGUGGCCUCAUUUGGCUGGUGUGGUACAGAGAAACCAGCCGUGUUUACAUGGCCAUCACAUG
rfam:Poecilia formosa, whole genome shotgun sequence.